ACUGAGGCAAACAGGUUUCCACUUGCCCCAGGGAUCACCUAGAUAGUUGAGCAAGUGAAUUGGAACUCAGGUCUUUCUGAUUCUAGACCCAGGACUAUAUGUCACUGUGCCAGUAGCUGCCUUGGAAUGAUGGUCAGUACCCCCUGUCCCUCUGAUUGGAGAGGGUGGAAGAUCACUUCAACUCUGAAACUCAGAUCUUCGUGAUCCCUGCCCCCAUGAACCCCUCCCCUCCUUCCCUCUGCUUAGAGGGCAGAUGAACCUGGACAUUGGACAGCUCCUGCCAGUGCCGUCAUUGAAGGAGGGGGCCCAGAGCCAUCUCAUCCUUUUCCAUAUGUUGGCUCUCCUGGACUUCCUCAUCAUAAUAAAUGUUUAUUGACUGCCUGACUGACCCCUGGGGGAGGGCAUCCUCUGGGGGGGUACAAGAAGUGUCCUACCAGGAGGCAGCUACUUCUCCAAUCAACCUUGCCCAUCCAGGUAUUAUGGGAGGAGUCUCAGCAGGCAACGCCACCCAAGAUGAUCGAGUCUGCCAAGGCUGUUCUCUAGGACUACCCUGGGAGUCUCCCGUUCUCCCCAGCGUGCGCCCUGGCGCUACACUCACACUUACUAGCCCCAGUUCCAGGAUUGACUCACCUCCUGUUCAGAUCCCACCGCUUCCUCAAAGAUGCCCCCUUAUUCGACUUCCCAGGAACCCUUUGGAAGAGACGCUGCCAUCAGCUUGUACAAAGAGGCGCCUCCAAGCAGAAUGUAAACUCUUUGAGGGUAGGGACCGGUUUCACUUUUUCUCUGCAUCCGCCUCAAUUGUAUU